rnacentral:rRNA from 1 species
CGGGUGAGUAACACGUGGAUAACCUACCUAUAAGACUGGGAUAACUUCGGGAAACCGGAGCUAAUACCGGAUAAUAUAUUGAACCGCAUGGUUCAAUAGUGAAAGACGGUUUUGCUGUCACUUAUAGAUGGAUCCGCGCCGCAUUAGCUAGUUGGUAAGGUAACGGCUUACCAAGGCGACGAUGCGUAGCCGACCUGAGAGGGUGAUCGGCCACACUGGAACUGAGACACGGUCAAG